rnacentral:rRNA from 1 species
GACAGAGGGUGCAAACGUUGUUCGGAAUUACUGGGCGUAAAGCGUGUGUAGGCGGCCAAGCAAGUCGGAUGUGAAAGCCCAGGGCUCAACCCUGGAAGUGCACUCGAUACUGCCUGGCUUGAGUAUCGGAGAGGUUGGUGGGAAUUCUCGGGUGUAGAGGUGAAAUUCGUAGAUAUCGAGAGGAACACCGGUGGCGAAGGCGGCCAACUGGACGAAUACUGACGCUGAGACACGAAAGCGUGGGGAGCAAACAGG